rnacentral:lncRNA from 1 species
GUUACUGCUCUGUAUUGAAAACCAGUUCUGUUUUACUUCAAAGCCUUUGCUAUACAGUAUACAUGGAGGAAAAUGAGUGACCAGGUGAUCAUAUGGGGAUCUUAAGAAAUACCAGAAGUUGUUCUUUUGGAAACUUGUAAGCUUCUUUUAAAAUCUUACUUCCUGUCGGUCUAAGAAGGGCACUCUUGAUGAAUGCUUCUUAGUUGUUUGUGAGGGUUGUGGCUUAAAGUAGCUAAGCUUUAUAAUUCUGUUGGCUCUGUCAAAUGAAAAGUCUAUCCAUUCCAAAACUGAACAAAUAAGUUUUAUUUCUGUGUGAGAACAAAUGGUUACUUGGAAUUUACUGGGAUUUUUCUUUUUCCAAAUCCACAUAGUACUGGCAACAUCUUUUUUUUCUUUGAUGUUAAGAUAUUUCCAACAUUGAUUCUUUACAGUAUAUGAUAGGUCAAGGGAUUCCAUUCAUCAUAUACUGAUAGGUCCAAGGAUGAGGGAAAAACUUCAUACAAGGGAAAUAUAAGUGUUUUUCUGAUGUUCAAGUGGCAGUAGGUGUGGGAAGCCGUUGCAAGCAGUAUCUCCCAAGAGUGAGCUUAUUCUCCUAUUGUAGAUAUCAGGAUAUCAUUGCUUUCCUUUUCUGCACUGUAUCAUGUUUUAGUUAUUUUAUGGAAAUCUAUCAGAGUGGAAGAGCAAAAGGUCAGUUGGAAGAGAAAAAAGAUGAAACUGAAACUAAAAGUGGUUAAAUAUACUUACAUUAGGUAUCAAUUACUACUUGUAUAUUAUCCAUGUUACAUUUU